GACGAGCCACACGAACGUUAUUCGGAAUUACUGGGCUUAAAGGGUGCGUAGGCUGCGCGGAAAGUUGGGUGUGAAAUCCCUCGGCUCAACCGAGGAACUGCGCCCAAAACUACCGUGCUUGAGGAAGAUAGAGGUGAGCGGAACUUACGGUGGAGCGGUGAAAUGCGUUGAUAUCGUAAGGAACACCCGUGGCGAAAGCGGCUCACUGGGUCUUCUCUGACGCUGAUGCACGAAAGCUAGGGGAGCAAACGGG
rnacentral:rRNA from 1 species